UGGCGAGUGGCGGACGGGUGAGUAAUGCAUCGGGACCUACCCAGACGUGGGGGAUAACGUAGGGAAACUUACGCUAAUACCGCAUACGUCCUACGGGAGAAAGCGGGGGAUCGAAAGACCUCGCGCGGUUGGAUGGACCGAUGUGCGAUUAGCUUGUUGGUGAGGUAACGGCUCACCAAGGCGACGAUCGCUAGCUGGUCUGAGAGGAUGAUCAGCCACACUGGGACUGAGACACGGCCCAG
rnacentral:rRNA from 1 species